rnacentral:rRNA from 1 species
AUUGAACGCUGGCGGCAUGCCUUACACAUGCAAGUCGAACGGCAGCACGGGAGCUUGCUCCUGGUGGCGAGUGGCGAACGGGUGAGUAAUACAUCGGAACGUACCCUGAAGUGGGGGAUAACGUAGCGAAAGUUACGCUAAUACCGCAUAUUCUGUGAGCAGGAAAGAGGGGGAGUCGCAAGACCUCUUGCUUUAGGAGCGGCCGAUGUCGGAUUAGCUAGUUGGUGAGGUAAAGGCUCACCAAGGCGACGAUCCGUAGCGGGUCUGAGAGGAUGAUCCGCCACACUGGGACUGAGACACGGCCCAGACUCCUACGGGAGGCAGCAGUGGGGAAUUUUGGACAAUGGGCGCAAGCCUGAUCCAGCCAUGCCGCGUGAGUGAAGAAGGGCCUUCGGGUUGUUAAAGGCUCUUUCGGUUGGGGAAGAAAUUGCUUCGGUUAAUACCUGGAGUAGAUGACGGUACCCGCAUAAGAAGCACCGGCUAACUACGUGCCAGCAGCCGCGGUAA